CCCACACAACGCUCCUAUCCUAGCUUUUUCAUUAGUUGUCCCUAGUCAUACCCCUGCCAUUAGUUGUCCCAAGUAUUUUGUUGUCAUCCAUUCAUUGGCCCCCCCGUACAAUAGGAGCUAUUAGUUAGCCAUGUGGUUCUCAGGGCCAUUAUAAUUAGGUGAUACAAAUAGUCAGGAGCUUCUGCGGGAAGAGCCUCUGGGAGGAAAUUGGCCAUGCCCCUUCCUGUCCUAGGGUGUUUCUGCUGCAAGCUUGGCCUUGGGAGCUUCUGGGGAGAAGAUAGCCAGGCCCUUUCUUGCCUCUGGCUACUGCCAGCUGCUGGCUUGUUCUCAGAGCUUUUGGGGCUGCCUCACUGCAUCUGAUCCUGCUUUGUUUUCCUGCCUAUUGUUUUGCUGCUGAGUGCCUGGCGUGCUCCUGGACUGAUCUUCACCAAACAAAGUCCUCCACCACAACAGCCAUCUUUUGCAUCUGCUUCAGCAGCCUUUGCUAUGUGUUUUUUGCCCCCAUGUGAGCCCAGAAUUGGAUGCAGUACUCCAGCUGCGGCCUCACCAAGACCAAGUACAGUGGGAGGAUGACAUCCUGAGAUGUAUUUGAGAAGUUUAGAAGCCUACCAGUGUCUCUAUCAUCAUAAU